GAGCCCUUGAUGCAUGGAACUUCCUUCCAUCUCAUAUUGCUCAAAGAAACAGCAAACCUGGUUUCAAAAAACAAAUAAAGCAACACCUCACAGCACAACUCCUCUCCCCUAUUUAACCUAGAUAGUUGGUCUGUAUGCAUUGAUAUGUAAGCUAUGUGUGCCUUUAUACAGUUCUGUCCUUGAGCUGUUCUUGUCUGUUGAUGUUCUGUAUUAUGUCAUUCUGUAUUAUGUUUCAUGUUUUGUGUGGACGCCAGGAAGAGUAGCUGCUGCUUUUGCAACAGCUAAUGGGGAUCCUAAUAAAACAAACCUAAACCUAACAAACCUAAUACCACUACCGCCGUGUCUUCACCAGCAGUCUAUAUCCUCACCAAGUUAGCAGAGGGUAGUUCGUAUGCCCCCUUCACUGGACAGGUGGCUCCAGUGGCCGUUCUGAAGCCCAGGAAGGCAUAUGAGCAGGCGGUGGUGAGCUCCCUGCCGGGCAGGUCAAAGGGCUAGUGGGGUGUUAUGCCCUGUUCCAUUACCUGAUGCUGCAGAUGUCAGCCUGGCCAGGGAGAGGCUGGAGCAACACCCCAGUAUGUCAGCCCAGGGGUCAGCUAGCAGCGAGCGACACACAGACACAGAGCUCUGCUGCCUCAGAGUGUGAGGCCCUGGCUGUCCAGCAGGCGGCACUGCUGUGCUACCACAGCAGCACCAGCGUGUACCCAGUCAGCCAUCUCAGACUGGCGCUGACCUCGGUGCUAGCCUGCUCUGCCUCGAGUGCCCCCCUGUGGCAGCUCUAUGUGCAGAUGGAGAACCGCUACCACAGCGGCGGCAGGGCACGCCGCUUAUUCCACAGCGUGGCCAAGGCUAGUGCCAGUGUCGUGCCGCGCCUGUUCGCCAUCAGUGCAGAGCAGCAGAGGAAGCAGCUGGUGGACUCUACAUACGUGGGAACACUAGGGAUGGAAGACUUUAAUCAGUAUCAAUUUAAUCAAAUAAUGUUGAUAACAGAACACACACACACAAAUAGAUAGUACUAGUCUGCAGUAGCUCACAUUUAGAUUGAAGUUCAUUUGGUUAGCUAACUGGAUGUUUUUUCGCAAGUUGUUAUUGCUUUCUUGGCAGGUCUGGUUGCUAUGGCGACACCUUCUCCACCCUUCCAGAGAACGGCCUAAGCAACCGUAUUCGCUCACUGUUUGAGAACGCCAUAGCAACAGAGCACGGGGUCCCACGGUCCGUUGCUGUGGAGGAUGUACAUGAAUUUCCUGGUGUCAGAAGGGAAAGUGGAGAAGGGAAGAGGGCUCUCUAGGAUGGGCCAAGGGUUUAUACAUGGACACGGUGCAGCUCUUUCCUGAGCACGUGCAGGAGUUCCUGGACCUGAUGACAGCAGGAGCUCAGACAGAGUUCCCGUGGAGGAGGUGGACAUACUGCUGGAGGACUGAGGCUCUAAAACUCUUCCCACAGUGCAACAGGGCCCUGGCUUCCUCAGACACUACUGUGGACACUCAGACGUCGUGCACUGACCAAUAGAACAGUGUCCUCAGAAAAAAUAGCAUUUUACUUUUCAAACAGUGAAUAAAUGAUUUUACACAUAUACUGUAUUAUGUGUUAAUUCAAAAAAUGUCCAUAUUUUGAUGGAUUUAAUAUCUAUUUUUAUGUCAAGGACUUGAGUUUAAAAUGAUAAAAAAAUAGAUUACUCCGAUAAUUGAAAAUGAAUGUUUUGUUUCCCAACACUGGUCUGCCAACCUUUAUUUAAAAAUAAGCUCUAAGCCUUUCACACAUUGUGAAUCCUGAGGGAUGCUUGUGUGCAUUUCCUGCGGGAUAACGACAUCACAGCUUAAUGGUGUGGAACGGAGCACACCGGAGUGUACACUUUAGAGUCAGGAGGGAAGGAGAGAGGAAACACAGACAUGAGGGUAGAGAAGCUUUAUAUAGUCUCAUUACUGCUUAUCCUUCAGAGUAGUAGAGCAUCCACUCUGGCUGUCUCAGGUGAGUCUGACACUUCAGAUGACCUUUAACCUAUUAUAAUGUGCUUCUGUGAGUUUACUGGAUUGGCCUCUGCCUUUACAUGCUACUAACUAUAUGCUACAUUUCUACUUGAUACCAACUACUCAGGCUGUGCUAUGGUGAUGUAGAAUUUCAUUAGUGAAAUAUAUGGUACCAUGGAUAUCAUGUAGUCUUCAUAGCUUUCUCAUAGCUGUAUUUACGUUUUUUUCCAGAAAUCAGAUCAACAGAACUUUUACCUUUUCUAUAUUUGAAAAUAACUUCCAUUCAUGAUGUUCUUUAUUCUGAUCACAGAUAAAGAAUGUAAUGAUGAUGCAUUUCCUGUCCGGGAAGACUGUGAAGUUGACACAGUGUGUGGAGAAGCUGUAUGUCAUCACAACCAGUAUGUCACCUGCCAUGUCAACCGCUGUGGCACCUGUGAACCUGUGUUCCGAGGCUAUGACAACAUCACUGUCAACUGCACCCAGUGUAAGACCAUCUUCUGUGGCUUACAUCUCUUAUCUGCAGUGGGAUUUGCCUUGUAUAUCAGUAUGAUUUUAGACAUUUAGGCUUGGACAUAAAUUAAGUGGUUCAAUUGCUUCCUUUAUAUAAAUCCACACACAUUACUCUGUAGGCUAUGUCUAUCUGAUAUCUGAGUAAGUUUGGAAUGAUAUAUGAAAUUGGAAAUAUCUCAUGUUAUUGAACUCUUCAUCAGUGACUCCCAAGUGUCGUCUAAUACACCUGGAGAUGUUGAGCAAGCACAGGACAGGAACCAUGUUAACUGGGGGGAGUUUAGGGACAAAGUACCAUCCAAACUGUGAUGGAGCUGGUAUGUUCAGACCUAAACAGUGCAGAGAGGAGGAGGACACCAAACUAUGCUGGUGUGUUAACAAGGCUGGAGUCCCAGUCUCUGACAAGACACAUGACCCCCUCAAAUGUGACAGGCUGGUCACAGUCCAUGUAAUUGAUAUUCAAUUCACAUUUAAAGUGGCGUUCACACCUGUUGCAAAAACCAUGGAUGAGAUACGAAGGUUUGUGUCCUUCCUCUGUAGUAACCCAUUGAUAUGCAGUUUUUAUUAAAUACAAUUUUUAUUGAAAAGUUAUGUUGUCACGGCACCAUUGUUGUUUCAGGCAGUUGGUAUUAAAGCUGGACAGGGAAUAUACGCUGGAUAAAACACAGAUCUUAGACAUAACUGUGAGUAAGCAGGCAUGUUUCCUCACAGAUUAUCGUUUGAGAUUGUGAGUGAGCUCUGUCUUUAUGAAUGUGUUAUUUGUGCCGGUCGGCCACCUCCUCAGGUGCGGGAACUAUACCAAGUAGUGUCCAUCCGCCUGACUGACAACAGGACAGACAAAGAGCCAGUGGACAUAGCAACUGUGGCCUACUACAUUGAGAGAGAUGUGAGACAUUUUGUAAGAGCUGUAUCUGCUUUCAGACAUUUCAAAAAGGCUGUUUGCUUGUAAAGUCAUUGAAUAUCUCUAACAGUCGAUGGGGGCUCCAUAUUUUAAGAAAUAAUACUUUUUUUGUAUAAAGGUCUGUUCAAUCGGACAUGCCUGGUGCUAAUAUUUUGCUUUAACUAUGCAGUGAAAUGUAACUGUUUUGCCAUCCCGUCUAGUUGAAAAGCAACAAGUUUGGGUUUGAGGUGGACGGCCGGAGACUAGAGGUGGCGAGGGACUCCAUCAAGGUCCUAUUCUUUCACUAUGACCACCCACACAUGGAAAUGAUGACCAUCAAUCCAGGCUUUGCUGCCCUCAUCCUCAUCAUUGCUCUGGCCAUUAUCAUUGGUGUUUCUGUGUCUGUGAGUAAGAGCAAAACUAAUUGUACAAUACCACUGCCAUCCUCACAUCACAACUUCUCUCUCUCUUUGUCCAUCACUAUUGUCAGGUGGUGGUACAAAGGAAAGCUCUGCUGGAGAGGAGAUUCCAGUUUGAAGUCAUUGAGGUUCAAGGGCAGGACAACCACCUGGAACAGCAAGAAGCUACCAUGACCUACUUUGUUAUGUGACAUACUUUAAUAUCUUUGUUGGUUAUAGUAGAUUUGUUUGUUUUUUAGUUGUCACUCAGUUCAUUUAUAUGCAAAGUUGUUGUCCAAUUAUCUCUUUCCCUGCCUGAAACAAUAGUCAGCUGCACAUUAUGGAAAUAUUGUAAUUGGUUGAUUUCUUAACCUGUUGCUUUAAUUAAAUAUUAAACAAGAAUUGACCAUGGAUGAAAAAAAAAAUCUAUAUGUACUUUAUUUGAAAUAAAAAUCUGAAUUGUU